AAAAAGCAACAGAAAAAAAAAAAGAAGCAAAUAAACAGAGUAUAGAAAGUAAGAUCGAACCUGAGAAAAGAAGGAGAAAGAAGCUCCGUCACUGCCGUCACCGCCGUGUUACCGCGAAACGCCACCGGAACUCUUUAUCUCGGUCGGAACACUCUCUUCCUCGGUCGGAACUCUUUGCCUCCCGCCGGCAAAUCUUCUCUCUCGGCCACUCCCUCACAGGUGGUGGUGGUGGUGGUUGUUGUUGUGAUUGUGAAGGACAAGAUGGAAAGGGCGAGAGAAAGAGUUUGAGAAUGUUGAGGGUAUAGGAUUGGGGAAUAGAUAGAUGAAUCUGUGGGCUGAACCUCUGUCCUCAUUGACUUAGUUUACUUGCUUCACUUAGUUUACUUGCUGCCAUCUUGUGUUUAGUGGAGCUCUUCAAUUGGUGCAAAGAGAGGUCCAAUAUAAUUGAUGCAGAGUACCAUAUGUUACUUAGUUUACUUGCUGCCAUCUUGUGUUUAGUGGAGCUCUACAAUUGGUGCAAGGAGAGGUCCAAUAUAAUUGAUGCACACUAUCAUAUGUUGGCAAGAUACAAUUGGAC
rnacentral:lncRNA from 1 species